rnacentral:rRNA from 1 species
GAUGAACGCUGGCGGCGUGCCUAAUACAUGCAAGUCGAGCGAACAGACGAGGAGCUUGCUCCUCUGACGUUAGCGGCGGACGGGUGAGUAACACGUGGAUAACCUACCUAUAAGACUGGGAUAACUUCGGGAAACCGGAGCUAAUACCGGAUAAUAUAUUGAACCGCAUGGUUCAAUAGUGAAAGACGGUUUUGCUGUCACUUAUAGAUGGAUCCGCGCCGCAUUAGCUAGUUGGUAAGGUAACGGCUUACCAAGGCAACGAUGCGUAGCCGACCUGAGAGGGUGAUCGGCAACACUGGAACUGGGACACGGUCCAGACUCCUACGGGAGGCAGCAGUAGGGAAUCUUCCGCAAUGGGCGAAAGCCUGACGGAGCAACGCCGCGUGAGUGAUGAAGGUCUUCGGAUCGUAAAACUCUGUCAUUAGGGAAGAACAAAUGUGUAAGUAACUAUGCACGUCUUGACGGUACCUAAUCAGAAAGCCACGGCUAACUACGUG